GACAGAGGGUGCAAACGUUGUUCGGAUUUACUGGGCGUAAAGCGUGUGUAGGCGGCUUUGUAUGUCGGAUGUGAAAGCCCACGGCUCAACCGUGGAAGUGCAUCCGAAACUGCAUAGCUUGAGUCCCGGAGAGGAAGGUGGAAUGCUUGGUGUAGAGGUGAAAUUCGUAGAUAUCAAGCAGAACACCUGCGGCGAAGGCGGCCUUCUGGACGGUGACUGACGCCUGAGACACGAAAGCGUGGGGAGCAAACAGGAUAGAAAC
rnacentral:rRNA from 1 species